GACGAGCGCUGGCGGCGUGCUUAACACAUGCAAGUCGAACGGAAAGGCCCUGCUUUUGUGGGGUGCUCGAGUGGCGAACGGGUGAGUAACACGUGAGUAACCUGCCCUUGACUUUGGGAUAACUUCAGGAAACUGGGGCUAAUACCGGAUAGGAGCUCCUGCUGCAUGGUGGGGGUUGGAAAUUUUCGGCGGUUGGGGAUGGACUCGCGGCUUAUCAGCUUGUUGGUGGGGUAGUGGCUUACCAAGGCUUGGACGGGUAGCCGGCCUGAGAGGGUGACCGGGCACAUUGGGACUGAGAUACGGCCCAGACUCCUACGGGAGGCAGCAGUGGGGAAUAUUGCACAAUGGGAGGAAGCCUGAUGCAGCAACGCCGCGUGCGGGAUGACGGCCUUCGGGUUGUAAACAGCUUUCGCCUGUGACGAAGCGUGAGUGACGGUAAUGGGUAAAGAAGCACCGGCUAACUACGUG
rnacentral:rRNA from 1 species